GUGCUCGCUUCGGCAGCACAUAUACUAAAAUUGGAACGAUACAGAGAAGAUUAGCAUGGCCCCGGCACAAGGAUGACAUGCAAAUUCAUGAAGCACUCAAAACAAUA